CAGAUACAGCAGGACGCCUCCAGGUUUUGGUGGGCUCACUCAAUGGUGUAGAAAUAACCCUAGCGUCCCUUUAUGCCCCUAACGACGGCCAACUCCCAUUCUUACGCAAUGCACUUAACAAGAUAGAUUCAAUGAAACGAGGACAGGUCAUAAUCUGUGGGGACUUCAAUUGCAGCCUCGACCCCAAUUUGGACAUAAAACGGGUGAAUAAUAAGAAAGCGUCCACCUACGCAUAUCAUAAUGGCAAAACCUUGUCCGACAUUAUGUUCAAACUAGACCUGUAUGACGCUUGGCGUAACAUUUAUCCAACAGGCAGAGACUAUACAUAUUUCUCACCAAUUCACUCAACCUACUCACGCAUUGAUCUAACACUGGUAGACAAACUAACCUUAACAAACAUAACUGAAGUAGAUAUAGGGCUGCGGACGUGGUCAGACCAUGCCCCGGUAACGAUUACCCUCAGCAGCCUAUACCCAAUCCGCGGGAGAGGAAAAUGGAGACUUAAUGAAAGUCUUCUGGACGAUCCCACAGCGCUGCAAAAGAUCCUUGAAUCCGCAACCAAUUAUUUCAAAGAAAACAUG